ensembl:snRNA U6 U6 spliceosomal RNA
GUGCUUGCUUCGGCAGCACAUAUACAAAAAUUAGAACGAUACAGAGAAGAUUAGCAUGGCCCCUGCGCAAGAAUGAUACGCAAAUUUGUGAAGUGUUCCAUAUUAAA